CUGCUGCUGGAUGUGGACGACGAGGAUCAGAGUGGAACGCAGCGCGGUGAAACGGCAGCGGCUAUUCUGUUAAGGCCGCACAGUCGGUGCCAUUUUAGGCGCUUGGUUUCUGCGGCACACAGGCCUCAUUAGGGGCCGAUUUCAGCUGCUUUGCUUCCCCAUGGGGGGGGCGGAGCCAGUUCCGGCUUGGGGGUGCUGGAGAAGGAGCGGCUGCAGCUGGAGCAGGCCUCGUGAAAGAGGCCUACAAGGCUUGACGGGGAUGGAACUCACUCGCCCCCUGCUGGCUUGAGGUUUCUGUUUCACGGCUGCUUUUAGCAGCCGGUUUAAGCAAGAUCAUAACAAUCCCCCCAACGGCUGGCUUGAGGCUUCUGCCUUCAUGGCUGCUUGUAACAGCUAGUUUAAGCAAGAUCACACCUUUAGGGGCAGUGACUCAUACUUUUACAGUAAUUAACUUAAUAUUGUUCCUCACAUAGACGGAUAUGUGCAACAGGGAGAUAGGAGGCAAGAGGCCUUCAAAAGGGGGCAGCGCAACUUCAGCCUGGAAGAAAGGGAAAAACGAUUGAAAUGAAAAUUCAAGGAAGAACUUGUCCAAGCUGUAUUCACUCCGGAAUUCACAACCGGAGACAGUGCUAGCACAGGGGAUGGUUGGACGCGGCGAGUUCCGAAGGGCUUCUGAAGAGAGGAGGUUCCGCACCGGCAAUCGCCAGAGGCAGUGUAGCAAGUAUGCCGCCAUCUUGGGGUGUGCUCUGUGCUCAUCUAAAAACUCCGGCUACAAAAGGCAUCCGAUCAGCGCCGUUCCGGAGAAACGCGGUUCUUCUCUUUAUUCAUCCCUUUGGUCUCUUUCAGAAUCGUGUUUGUUGGUGGGCUGGAGCCUACGCAAUAUGAUUCAGAAAUCUACAGAGGAACUGGAUUGUACACAGUUGUUGAUAGGAUAUCUGCUUUAAAGCACCUUGUGUUUCACAGUCUGAGGUUCUCAGUUUUAAAUUGUAUUUCAGUUUUUUAAAUUGACGUGCUAGAGUUUUUAUUGUUUUAUAUUAAAGUUUUGUUUUAUUUUAUUUUAUAUUUGGUUUGUCAGCCUUCCAGAGAAACUCUUGUUUUGAGGUGGCUAUAUAAAUGAAUAUUAUAGUUUUAUGUAUACACACAAAUUGAUUUUUAAUUUUAAAAAAUCCCUCUGAAUUCUGCUCAAAAUCAUAACAUUGUCCUAAGAAUUAAAAGUAUUAGGACAAUCUGAAUAUAUAUUUAUAUUUUGUUUUUGAGUGUUACUUGCAAGGGUCAGAGUAACGUUUCAAAGCAUUCCUGUGCAAUUUUCAAAGUUGGAGGCGUGCAGCCCAGUCGCCAAUGUAUUUGCUCAGAAGGAAGUCCCACUAUGUUAGGUGGAGUUUACUCCCAGUAGCAGUACACCUUAUUUAGGAGUAAGCCUAAUUAAACUCACUGGGAUUUACUUCUGAGUAAACAGGAUUUGGACUGAAAACAACAGUAACAGACGGAAUCUGCAUGUCUGUUGGUUUCAGAUGCCAGAGGGGUGAAGUUUGCAGUCCUAAAUGCACGAGGGAGUGAGCCUCAUUGCACACAGAAAGAAUACUAUUAAUUCAUAAACAGAGCAAAUGUUCAUGUUCAACUCUAAACUAAUACGUUUGUAUUCAAGAACUUUGUUUCAAAGUCUAUUACACCUUAAAAUUUUGGUAAAACAUCUCACAUAAAAUUUAAUGUUUUUUUAAAAUCUAGUUCCUAGGUAGGAGGAAAUGCUUCAUCAGAAGAAAAUUCUGGUAUCAGGUUGCAAAUCAGAAUACUGAUACAUUUUAACUAAUCAUUUUGGAGGGGAGCAAAAUAAUCAAAUUUUAUUUUUGAAACUUGGAAGUUUUUCCCUUGCAGUAAAUAUUCAGGGUCCAGGACAUAAGUGGAAAGGAUCAUUAAUGGUGUCAAAGUUGCUAGAUGUAUAUUCAUUAUUUUACAGCACUUCCCUUAUACACAAUAUUUGCUAGAUCCAAUUAACAUUGUUAAGGAUCUUGGCUUUGACAAUAUUCCACCUUUGUUGUAGUUUGGAGAAAAGGCCACAAGUUUUUCAAAAUUCUCUUGUGGCUUUGAAAUGUUGAUCUAGCAAUAUUUGCAGGUGAUGGGGUGAUGCUGUUGCAGCAUAAUACUGGAUUAUGUUGCUGUGCAUUAAUUUUCCUGUAGAUGAUUAGCUCAAAGUUGCAUAGUGAUCCCGUAACGUUACUGCAGCAUUUUUCAGUAAUAGCCUAAACCAAACCCAAUGUGCCGAUGUAAAAGAACGAGUUCUUUAAAGCCAGAAACAGGCCAUGCAUCUGUAGAUUCAUUUACAGACUAAGUUUUGAGAGGAUGCUCAGGUAGAACACUUGAAAGAUGAUUGUUCUCACCUUUAGACAGCUAGCAGUGCAAGCCAAUGUAUGUUUAUGCAGAAGUAACCCCUACAGUGUUGUUUUACUGUUCUCUGUGUGCUUUUUUGAGUUCAGGGCUUCCAGGUGCACACAUCAGCUACAGAUACACAUAUUUAUGCAUAACUGGGUAAAUGGUCCCAAUAGCCUUCAAGUGGGUACUCUGCAAAAUUGCUGCGGUUUGUCAGCCACUAAUUUAUAGGAGCAGGACUGUCAUACGACCCAGGAAUUUUAGCAAGCCAUCUGGGGUCCACAUUAAUGCUUGCGGGCCUCCUGUCACACACAAUGUAAAUUAACACAUUCAGGGAAAGGACACUAGGAACAUUGGAAACUGCCUUAGGCCAUUGGUCCAUCAUGCUCAGUAUUGUCUAUGCUGACUAGCAGGGUUUUCCAGGGUUUAAAGCAGGAGUCUCUCUUAGCCAUGGCUGACACCAGGCAUAUUUAGGCCCUUGGGUGCCAGCCUGCCCCAGGCCUGCAGUUCCCCCCUGACUGUACAGGCCUGCGGCCCUCUCCCACUCCACCUACCUUUUCUUUUUCUGAAUGCCCUGUGCGGUGCCCUACACUGUCUGCACACACAUGCCUGCCAUCAACCCAGAAGUCUCCGCUACCAUCUUGGUUGAUGGCAGCUGCGUGCACAGCACACAGGGCAUUCACAGAAAGGGAGGAGAGGUAGGUGGAGCAGGCGGGUGCUGCGGGCCCACACGGUCUUUAGAGAGGGCUGGGAGAUCCCUCUCCGCAAUCUGCCGCUUGGUCGGGAGUCAAUAUUGUACAAUUCUCAACUGAGCCCAGAACAGAUAUAGAUAGCGGUGGUUACUGGUAAAUGAAACAGAUGAUAAUGGUGAGUCACUAAGAUACAGCAUGGGGGACAUGACAAUUCAGGUGAAAGGAUUUUGGCAGCAAAGAUGCAAACAAUGUGGCAUAUUGAAGUUUGCCGGCGAGGGGUAUUUUUAGCCCAGCCAAGAAGAGGAAGACCCUCAAGGUGGCAAACCAGCAAACAGCAGAGAGUAGAGAAUGUGAGAAAAUUUUAUUGCAGUGGUUUGGGUGUUGGCACAACCCUUUGUCAAGGGCAAUCCUGAACAAAUAACAAGCUGGUUUCUCAUCAAUAUAACAAACUGAAUUCUUGAAAGCAGCUGGCUCUUAAAGGAAGAGAGAUAAAGAGCACACCCCAGCUGCUUUUUCUUUUUGUAACUGCCACCAAAAUUGGUGAGGUCUUUGGGGUACAGAGCAGAGUCCUGAAUUGGGGGCUCCCCCCCCCUGCAAUAACUGAGACAUGUGCCAGGGCCAAAAGACUUCUUCCCAUAGCCUGAUUGGGGCUUCUGUGUCACUUGGGGGAAGAGUGGGGGGGGGAGAGAGGAAGGAACUCUGGGUGAUUUAUUUCAGGCCCAACACAUUUUGGAAUAACUCACCUUUGGGGCAAGUUUUGAAUAGCAAUUCACAUCAAGUGCAUACACAUACAUUUGGCCAGAAAUAAAUAUUUCUUCAUGCAUCUGGAGUUUCUUCCUCUCUAUUUUCCUGUGAGUGGUGCUUUCCCAGUUUUGUGGUAAUUUUACUGCUUGUGCUCUAAGAGCAGGAAGGGCCAUGCUUGUAGUGCAAGGGAAGGAUCUGUAAACGCUUGCAGGUUAUAUAACUGAUGACACAUACAGGUAAUGUUGCCAUAUUCCAGUUCCACGUAUCUGGGCAGGCUAGUCUGCAUACGAUGCAAAUUAUUUUCUAAUUACGCAAAUUAAUAAUAUUAAAGGUUGCAUUGUCCAGUUUUGUUUUUGUGCCUAGAAAUUACCACCAAAACUGCAGGAGGAUGUGAGCAAUUAAAAAAAACACCUUACAUUUUCAGCCUUAAAUGCCUAGACUCUAUAGAAUAUUUAUUAUGAGAAUGUAUAUCCUGUCCUUCCACUGUUAAAGACAAUGCUCAGGGCAGCUUAUAAACACAAUAAAAACAAUAAAAAUAUACAAUCAAUGUAAAAACAUAAAAAACAAACAUAAAACAAGUCAAUGCAGCUGUAUCAAAAUCCAGCAUAAACAAAAGCCAGCAAAGCAUCCCUUAAAAGCAAUAUUGUGACACUGAGAUUGCCUGUACCAACAAUUAGAAAAUGUGAAAUGAACACACCACUACAAAAUGUAAUUCAGAUAAAAAUCAAGAUUCAGUAUUAUCAGUUCAGUGAUCUUGUCUAAAGAGAGUGGUGUCUGAGCAUGUCUUUAGUACAUUGAUUCUCACAUACCAGAUCAGGGAAAGGGGAAACAUAGCCUUGGUGGAUACUUGAGUGCUGGUGUAUCUUUUUUUUUUUAAUGCUGUGAAUUCUAGAGACUUGUCAAGCUGUGCUGGCAUUAGACAGGGCAGCUGUUCCAUUCCUAUUGGUCUUAACAGAGGGGUGGAAGCCAUUCCUUUGGUCUUAAGGGGGGGGGAAGAGUACACCCUCCCACUGCACUGAAUAUAUAUAUUCUCUCUGUGCAUGUGUAUAUAUAUAUACAUGGGUGUACACACACACACACACAAUCCAUAUAUCCAUCCAUCCCUGGGGAGGAAAUGGAGGGUGAUCUUUGGUGGGGAGAUGCCUGCCAUUCAUUUUGAAGAAGGGUACGUAUUAAAAAUACUUUUUAGCCUUUUUUGAACUGCUGAACAGGCUCUGCUGGACAGCAAAGUGAGUGAGGCUGCAUUCCAAUGCAACAUUACUUGGGAGUAAGAACCAGUUAACAGGGUAAGGGUAGGGCAAAAAUGCAAAUACUAAUACCUCAGCCUUUUCUACCGAGGUUUGCUUUUAUAUCUUGUAUUUGUUUAGGGGAGGAAGUGUUUGGUGUAUUAAAGCCCCUUUAUUCCAUCCUCCACAAUGGCAGGCUCAUUCACCACUUAAGACACAUACCCCGAGCCACAGAGGCAAUUGAAAUGAAGGCUGCUUCUCCUUGCUGACGGGGCAGAGCUGCACAUGUUGAUCAAGUAAGCAUGUCCAAUUUUCUAAACUGCUUAGAUUCUGCAUAUGCAGUAAACAAAAAUUCUUGAUUUUCUCAGGACAGCUGUGGUGUCCCUCAUUGGCUAAGAACAAUGGAAGGAGUAGGCUGAUUUCUCACAAAAUGGGGAGAAAACUGCCUCCAUGUUUUGCCUUGUAUCUCUGGAUCCACAAGGGCUAGAGACUUGCUUUUUAAAAAAUGAAUGGUGGGGAUCUGGGCCACCUAAUGGGCCAAGCAGGCACCAGGCAGCAUGGUUAGAAGCUGGGUAACUCUGGAAGAAACUGGGUUCUUUAAUAACAAUCUAGAUAUGAAGCAAACAAGCAGCUUAAUCACUCAGCAAGUGCAAAUUAAUUCUAACAAGUUUGUUCAUCUCUUAAGUUCAACUGAUGUCAAGUUUUCAUUUUAUGUUGAGCAGGGGUAGGGAACUUCUAAGCCCAGGGACUGAAUGCAGCUCGCUAGGCCUCUCAAGACUGUUCUGAAGCCACACCCACUCUCCCAGUCUGCCCCUCACCACCUGCUCUGUACCCUCCUCAAAUGCUUUUACCUGACUGGAAACAGUUAAAGGACAGUAAUCAUGCCCCUUGCUUGCCCGGAUGGAGGUAUGUAUAGAUUUAAGUCAUGGCUGGAAUGUAGCUUAUUGUAUGAAGUUGAGUCCCAUCCGUUGCUCCACCCACCAAAGAUAUGUGGCCCCCAGGCAGAAAAAGCUUCCCCACUUCUGAUGUUGAUGAUCAAGCUGAUGAGUAAUAUGUCAAGAAGCCUUAAGAUGGAUAUACACUACAGAAGCAGGAAGUGUAUUUUAUUUUUUAGUGGAAUGACUAGUUCCCUAGAUUUUGUAUAUAAUAAAGCCAGUAUUAUUUCUGGUUGAAGAAAUGAUACUCUCAGCAUUUUGCUGAACUGACAAUAUGUUGCAGCUGUUCCUUUGUUAAGGCAAGUGUUAUUAUCUUGUCAUUUGCAUGAGUAGUUGCUUUGGAGCAUGUUAAAAAAAAAUCAAAACUGACAUUUGCAAGGAUGUAAGAAAAUGUUUGAUUACUGGAGCAUUCAUAAUGUUCACGUGUGUAAAAGAUUGCUUUUUAAUAACAGAGUGACACUUUGUCCCACAGAUACAGGAAGUAUCUGUUACGUAAUAAGUAACAGAAACAGUACAUCAAUUCUGGUGGGUUUCCUCCACUUUCUGUCAUGCCUAAAGCAUUUUCCUGACCUAAUGAAGUUGAGAAUUCAAAGCAGCAAGCCAAUUUCUGGAACGCAAAGAAAUAAACACAAGAUAUUUCAGGGUUCAGAAUACAGGUGUUUCUUUUUUAUUUAUGAACAGAAUAAAAUAUUUUUAAAUAUAUUAAUUUUAAGUAUACUACACUUAAACUGGGAUGCUGGCUUGCACAUUAACAGUGUUCAAAACCAAAAAUGAUUGCAAUGGCCCCCUCCUAUCCCAAAUACUGAUGCAACAAACAGAUGACUUGAGAACAAAUAUCCGUUCAAAAGUCCCUUAGUAAAAAGGUAAUAAAGGAAAGUUAAUCAAAACAUCAGUAGCCAUCAUGGCAGCAACAUAGAGCAAAAUAAUGCUCUGAGAAAACCAACUUCCUUUGUUAUUUUUUUCCAGAUAACUUGAUUUUUCACUGUAAGGCAUGAAGGUUUGUCAUUAUGGUUACCAGAAUGGUAGCCAUAAUCAUGUCUAUGGCUCCUAAUACUUCAAAGUUUGGGCCACAUCAAGUGUACAAAAGAAGUUUUGGCAUUAAAUAGUAGAGGAAGAACCUUUCCAGAAACAAGAGCCCUUGGAAAGGCUAACUUGAAAAUACUUUCACACAUUACAAAAGUGACUUCAAUUGUGCGUUUCCCAUGGCACAAAUCUAGCAAACACAUAAUGAGAUGACAAUCUAGUGUUAGAGAACUGGAAAUGCUCAUUCCAUUUGACUUAUCCAUUGACUUUCCACACAAUUGGCUUCUUACCCUGUAUUUACUGAGUUCACAAAAUUGCCUUCAGGUGAAAGCCAGGUAUACCAACAUGAAAUGUAAAAAGCUUGGCAAGAGGCAGAAACGGUGGCAGCCAUUUGCAAGGAGCCAUGGUCCUCAAGCCACUUUAUCAGGAUUGGUGAUAAUGAUUACUGCAAAGAAAGUGAUUUGAGAAUCACAGUCGAUUAAGGAUCACAGAGAAGGAACAAUUUCUGAAAAUAAGAGAACAUGAAGGAAUAUGUGGAAAAUAAUCAGAAGGCAGACUGAAAUCUCAUUUACAUUUCAAAGAAACAUCACAGACUUUGGGUUUUAUUCAGAUACAGCAAAACAAGAAACUGGUCAAAAAUUUCUUCAAGUAUAAUACUGCUUGGUAAGUUAAUAAUCAUUGCUACUAUUGUUCCCCCACAGGUGAGAACUCUGGUAUGUGUACUGUAAGCUUAGUGAAAUAUAAUACUGCUUAUCUUCAUAUAUGCAGGUGAACCUAACUAAAUAUCACUUACUAGUUAAUGUCUAAAAAAGCCAAAAUUUGCAUUUCUGUGAAAUGGAUACUGACGAUUCCUGAGACUGGAAAGGCCUUUUCUGUGUAAAUAUGUGGUAUGCAAGCUGAAUGUAUACAUGGAGUAAAAGAGCCUUUGGAAAAGGUGGCUUGGAAAUUGAAGUGUAACUAACAAGUGAAUGUGUGGAAUAGUGUGAUAGACAACAUUAUUUGUGAUGACAACUGAACUUGGUGUUUUGCUGAUUUUACUCCUACUUACAUGAGUAAUCAGUUUUGCAAGACCAUGCAAAUCAUGUCUUAGGAGCCAGCCACAAAAGACAAUAAGGAAAACCACUUGAUCAGCAAGGCAUGGAAAACCAACACCCAAACGAAGACGAGAGUGUCUCUCCAAGCCAAUAAUAGCACUUCUUGUUUGGCUUCUCGGAAAGCCCAGGUUAAAUAAGUGAAGUGAUAACUAAGUUGCUAAAAUAAAAAUACUGGAGGAAGUGUAAAACCUAUGCUCACUCUGUUGUACAUUAUAUGAGUGGAACAAUUAGGUAUGCUUGAUGAAGACAUGACAGCAAUCUCUUCAAGUUUUUCCAGUUGCAAUGAGCUUGCAUUGUAAGUAUUGAAAAACCUGGCCAAUAAGAGGAUGGCUUAAACAGGAAGAACAAACUCCCUUUCACGAAAGAGAGAAGUCCAGUAAAAAGUCUUCUUGAUGCACCUGUGGCUUCUUCAUGGGAAGAAAGGGGUGUGGGUGGAAACAGAAAAGAAAUAUGCAUGUACUGAAGUUGCCUCGGGAUAUUGAUUUUUUUUUUAAACCUAUUAUGUUUUGGACAUUCCAGGGCAUUAUGAGAAAUCCAAGCUUGAUCCUAUGUUGUCUGAAGGAAACAGAUCAAACUGUGGUUGUGGGAGAAGGUGAGACUGUGGCUAGUUGGUCAAAUUUCCGGUCUGUAAUCUCUGGCUGCCGUAGUGAUGUGAAGGGAUUCCAUAUGAAAUAUUGGAUACCAACUACAACUAUAACAUAGAGCUUUUGCAGCACAUUCAGGGACCCAGGCAGCUUGGAGCAUUGACUUUAAAGAAUAUGAGGUGGGCUCUUCUGACUCUUGAAACACUCCAAGAGGUUCCCUUUCUGUGCAAGACAUCAACGUGGGAUGCUCCCAGGAUGGAGGCAGGAGGCCAAUAAUGCUUCCUGGGGCCGAAGAAGAGAACUCGGUGCUGAAUUUGUUUGUGGCAGAUGAAGUGAUGUAAAAGUGGUAGGAUUCACUUGCUGGUCUUCUUUUUCACCUUGGUGGCAUUGAUGUCUGCUUUUGUCUUCUGGAUUCGGGAGAAGAUCUCCUUAAACAGGGCUUUGUACUCUGGCUGACUCUGCUCUAGCCGCUUGUCUACAGCAUUCACAUGUUUGCUAAGGCUCUUUUCCAUUGUCUUGAGCUCGUCUAGCUCAUAACCCUCUCCCCGGAAGUCUCUAAAGGAGCUGUCGCGAGAGAUGGGGCGGGAGGUUUGGACACCGGCAUGGCGCACGCUGUCCUUGUGCUGUCGGCACUUGCUGAGGAGCUCCUCAUACUUUUCCAGCAGGGCAUGGUAUUGCUCAUCCACCUCCCUCAGGAUUGACAUUCCCCUUUUGCGUACAUUAUUGGCAUGGAGUGUAUAAUUGCCUUCAUGGCGGCUCACAGCAUCCUUGGUCACAAUGGCAUUCAGGGCUGUGUCACUACAGCUUUUCCGUACAGGGUGGUUUGGGGAAGCCGUCAUGGAUGAUUCAUGGUUUUUACUUCCAUCUUCCUCAGAUAAGUCAAUGUAGUCGGCUUCUGGGGCAUUGUUUAAUGGUUCUAGAAGUGCUUCUGAUAGGUUGUCCUCUCUACUGAGGAGAUACUUCUUGACUUGUUUCAUCUGCUGGAGUUCCAGUAACUCUCCUUCCAGCUCUUUAAUGCGCAGCUUGCAGCUCUCCAUCUCACACACCCGUUGUUCAAGGUCUGAGUACUCCUGGAUGACAGAUGUGUACUCUCUCUCUACCCUCUCCUUCCGCUGUUUCUCUUGGUUGACUUGAGACCUCAAGGAAUUUACCAUUGCUUGCAAUCGCUCAUUCUCUCGUUCCAAGGGCAAAUGACUGAACAUUGAAGAGCUGUGAAUCUGGAAUGCAUCUUCAUAUCUGAUAUCCAAAAAAUAACAGCAAAUUAAUAAUGAUAGAUUCCUAGGAUGGGUGGUAUACUAUAAAUACAGUGAGGUCAAUGGAAGAACUAUCUCCAUGUAACAACAGAACAGGGUUUGUUGGGUCCUAUGUAUGCACCCUCACACCCCAGUGGGAACAUACACCUGACCCCCUACCCUGAUGUGCUAUUUUUCUAUAAGCAGGGCUUUUUCCAUGGGAGUGUGCAAACAUGUGAUUCUCCUACCUGCAGUCUGGAUUCUGCUUAUCAUGAAUCUCAUAUUCAGAGGGUGAAACUAUGUGUAACUUUUUCACACACAGAGAUGCUGCUGCUAAUGCCUGUCCCUUUUCUAUAUUAAAGUGCAUCUAAAUGGG